GAGCAGGUGAUCCGAUUGGUAAUGGUGAUUCUCUGUAAAAGAAUUGGUUAGCGCCGUAAAAGGUUCGAUUCCUUUACUGCUCA
rnacentral:tRNA from 1 species